rnacentral:rRNA from 1 species
CUAUAACGGUCCUAAGGUAGCGAAAUUCCUUGUCGGGUAAGUUCCGACCCGCACGAAAGGCGUAAUGAUUUGGGCACUGUCUCAACGAGAGACUCGGUGAAAUUUUAGUACCUGUGAAGAUGCAGGUUACCCGCGACAGGACGGAAAGACCCCAUGGAGCUUUACUGCAGUUUGAUAUUGAGUAUCUGUACCACAUGUACAGGAUAGGUAGGAGCCAUUGACUUCGGGACGCCAGUUUCGAAUGAGGCGUUGUUGGGAUACUACCCUUGUGUUAUGGCUACUCUAACCCAGAUAGGUUAUCCCUAUCGGAGACAGUGUCUGACGGGCAGUUUGACUGGGGCGGUCGCCUCCUAAAGAGUAACGGAGGCGCCCAAAGGUUCCCUCAGAUUGGUUGGAAAUCAAUCGCAGAGUGUAAAGGUAUAAGGGAGCUUGACUGCGAGAGCUACAACUCGAGCAGGGACGAAAGUCGGGCUUAGUG